AGCGAACGCUGGCGGCAGGCUUAACACAUGCAAGUCGAGCGGGCCCUUCGGGGUCAGCGGCGGACGGGUGAGUAACGCGUUGGAACGUGCCUUCUGGUCUGGAAUAACCCUGGGAAACUAGGGCUAAUACCGGAUACGCCCUUUUGGGGAAAGGUUUACUGCCGGAAGAUCGGCCCGCGUCUGAUUAGCUAGUUGGUGGGGUAACGGCCUACCAAGGCGACGAUCAGUAGCUGGUCUGAGAGGAUGAUCAGACACACUGGGACUGAGACACGGCCCAGACUCCUACGGGAGGCAGCAGUGGGGAAUAUUGGACAAUGGGCGCAAGCCUGAUCCAGCCAUGCCGCGUGAGUGAUGAAGGCCUUAGGGUUGUAAAGCUCUUUUAUCCGGGACGAUAAUGACGGUACCGGAGGAAUAAGCCCCGGCUAACUUCGUG
rnacentral:rRNA from 1 species